rnacentral:rRNA from 3 species
GAUGAACGCCGGCGGUGUGCCUAAUACAUGCAAGUCGUACGCACUGGCCCAACUGAUUGAUGGUGCUUGCACCUGAUUGAUGAUGGAUCACCAGUGAGUGGCGAACGGGUGAGUAACACGUAGGUAACCUGCCCCGGAGCGGGGGAUAACAUUUGGAAACAGAUGCUAAUACCGCAUAACAACAAAAGCCACAUGGCUUUUGUUUGAAAGAUGGCUUUGGCUAUCACUCUGGGAUGGACCUGCGGUGCAUUAGCUAGUUGGUAAGGUAACGGCUUACCAAGGCGAUGAUGCAUAGCCGAGUUGAGAGACUGAUCGGCCACAAUGGAACUGAGACACGGUCCAUACUCCUACGGGAGGCAGCAGUAGGGAAUCUUCCACAAUGGGCGCAAGCCUGAUGGAGCAACACCGCGUGAGUGAAGAAGGGUUUCGGCUCGUAAAGCUCUGUUGUUGGAGAAGAACGUGCGUGAGAGUAACUGUUCACGCAGUGACGGUAUCCAACCAGAAAGUCACGGCUAACUACGUGCCAGCAGCCGCGGUAAUACGUAGGUGGCAAGCGUUAUCCGGAUUUAUUGGGCGUAAAGCGAGCGCAGGCGGUUACUUAGGUCUGAUGUGAAAGCCUUCGGCUUAACCGAAGAAGUGCAUCGGAAACCGGGCGACUUGAGUGCAGAAGAGGACAGUGGAACUCCAUGUGUAGCGGUGGAAUGCGUAGAUAUAUGGAAGAACACCAGUGGCGAAGGCGGGUGUCUUGGUCUGCAAAUGACGCUGAGGUUCGAAAGCAUGGGUAGCGAACAGGAUUAGAUACCCUGGUAGUCCAUGCCGUAAACGAUGAGUGCUAGGUGUUGGAGGGUUUCCGCCCUUCAGUGCCGGAGCUAACGCAUUAAGCACUCCGCCUGGGGAGUACGACCGCAAGGUUGAAACUCAAAGGAAUUGACGGGGGCCCGCACAAGCGGUGGAGCAUGUGGUUUAAUUCGAAGCUACGCGAAGAACCUUACCAGGUCUUGACAUCUUGCGCUAACCUUAGAGAUAAGGCGUUCCCUUCGGGGACGCAAUGACAGGUGGUGCAUGGUCGUCGUCAGCUCGUGUCGUGAGAUGUUGGGUUAAGUCCCGCAACGAGCGCAACCCUUGUUCUAGUUGCCAGCAUUAAGUUGGGCACUCUAGUGAGACUGCCGGUGACAAACCGGAGGAAGGUGGGGACGACGUCAGAUCAUCAUGCCCCUUAUGACCUGGGCUACACACGUGCUACAAUGGACGGUACAACGAGUCGCAAGCUCGUGAGAGUAAGCUAAUCUCUUAAAGCCGUUCUCAGUUCGGACUGUAGGCUGCAACUCGCCUACACGAAGUCGGAAUCGCUAGUAAUCGCGGAUCAGCAUGCCGCGGUGAAUACGUUCCCGGGCCUUGUACACACCGCCCGUCACACCAUGGGAGUUUGUAACGCCCAAAGUCGGUGGCCUAACCUUUAUGGAGGGAGCCGCCUAAGGCGGGACAGAUGACUGGGGUGAAGUCGUAACAAGGUAGCCGUAGGAGAACC